AAGUCGUAACAAGGUUUCCGUAGGUGAACCUGCGGAAGGAUCAUUAACAAAAGGGAAAAGUGUACAAGCUGCGGCUUCAUUGCCCGCAUGUGCAUUCUUUCCGAAGUUCUUAUAUCCAAACCCCAAAUGCUUUGCUAUUGCUUCUUUUUAAUUUUUAAUUAAAUUAGAAAAAGCAAUCGUAUUGUAACAAGAACCUGUUUUCUUUUGCAAAAGAGAAAACCCGAGUCUAGUAAACAUUCAUUUCACGAUGAAUGGGUGCUAUUCUCAAAAAACCCCAUGAAAAACCCUUUUAAACCUUUA
rnacentral:misc_RNA from 1 species